AGAGUUUGAUCCUGGCUCAGGACGAACGCUGGCGGCGCGCCUAACACAUGCAAGUCGAACGAGAGAGAGGGAGCUUGCUUCCUCAAUCGAGUGGCGAACGGGUGAGUAACGCGUGAGGAACCUGCCUCAAAGAGGGGGACAACAGUUGGAAACGACUGCUAAUACCGCAUAAGCCCACGGCUCGGCAUCGAGCAGAGGGAAAAGGAGCAAUCCGCUUUGAGAUGGCCUCGCGUCCGAUUAGCUAGUUGGUGAGGUAAUGGCCCACCAAGGCGACGAUCGGUAGCCGGACUGAGAGGUUGAACGGCCACAUUGGGACUGAGACACGGCCCAGACUCCUACGGGAGGCAGCAGUGGGGAAUAUUGCACAAUGGGGGAAACCCUGAUGCAGCGACGCCGCGUGGAGGAAGAAGGUCUUCGGAUUGUAAACUCCUGUUGUUGAGGAAGAUAAUGACGGUACUCAACAAGGAAGUGACGGCUAACUACGUGCCAGCAGCCGCGGUAAAACGUAGGUCACAAGCGUUGUCCGGAAUUACUGGGUGUAAAGGGAGCGCAGGCGGGAAGACAAGUUGGAAGUGAAAUCCAUGGGCUCAACCCAUGAACUGCUUUCAAAACUGUUUUUCUUGAGUAGUGCAGAGGUAGGCGGAAUUCCCGGUGUAGCGGUGGAAUGCGUAGAUAUCGGGAGGAACACCAGUGGCGAAGGCGGCCUACUGGGCACCAACUGACGCUGAGGCUCGAAAGUGUGGGUAGCAAACAGGAUUAGAUACCCUGGUAGUCCACACCGUAAACGAUGAUUACUAGGUGUUGGAGGAUUGACCCCUUCAGUGCCGCAGUUAACACAAUAAGUAAUCCACCUGGGGAGUACGACCGCAAGGUUGAAACUCAAAGGAAUUGACGGGGGCCCGCACAAGCAGUGGAGUAUGUGGUUUAAUUCGACGCAACGCGAAGAACCUUACCAAGUCUUGACAU
rnacentral:rRNA from 1 species